rnacentral:rRNA from 1 species
CACGUAGGGCGCAAGCGUUGUCCGGAAUUAUUGGGCGUAAAGAGCUCGUAGGCGGUCUGUUACGUCUGCUGUGAAAACCCUGGGCUUAACCCUGGACUUGCAGUGGAUACGGGCAGACUAGAGGCAGGUAGGGGAGAAUGGAAUUCCCGGUGUAGCGGUGAAAUGCGCAGAUAUCGGGAGGAACACCGGUGGCGAAGGCGGUUCUCUGGGCCUGACCUGACGCUGAGGAGCGAAAGCGUGGGGAGCGAACAGG